AAAUGAAUAGACGGGGGCCCGCACAAGCGGUGGAGCAUGUGGUUUAAUUCGACGCAACGCGAAGAACCUUACCUGGGCUUGACAUCCUUUGUUAACUUUGGAAACAUAGUUUUCCCAGCUUGCUGGGACGGAGAGACAGGUGCUGCAUGGCUGUCGUCAGCUCGUGUCGUGAGAUGUUGGGUUAAGUCCCGCAACGAGCGCAACCCUUGUCUUUAGUUGCCCUUAUUAGGUUAGGCACUCUAGAGAGACUGCCCCGGUUAACGGGGAGGAAGGUGGGGAUGACGUCAAGUCCUCAUGGCCUUUAUGUCCAGGGCUACACACGUGCUACAAUGGGCGGUACAGAGGGUAGCGAUACUGUGAGGUUGAGCCAAUCCCAAAAAGCCGUUCUCAGUUCGGAUUGAAGUCUGCAACUCGACUUCAUGAAGUUGGAAUCGCUAGUAAUCGCAGAACAGCAUGCUGCGGUGAAUACGUUCCCGGGCCUUGUACACACCGCCCGU
rnacentral:rRNA from 1 species